AGAAGGUUCGUCGGGUAUAGACAACAAAGGGGAAGUAUCUACUACAUCAGAGUGAGACAGCUCCUGGAAGCAGGGAAAAAGAUUCUGAUUCUUGUCAAAUUCUCAGGUAUGACUACUUCAGAAAUUAAAGCUCUGCUGGAUAAAGACCUGGUAAAGCUGAGCUCAUUUUGACUAACUGGCAACCAGAUGGCCUCCCAAUUCGCUUCCAAGGAAAUAGAAAUUAAUUCUAUCUUCUUUGUUGCAGCCAGAUAUAUUGGUUCUUCUUUGAAGAAGAUCAGUUGUACAUCAUACCAAGAGUUAAUGGUCAUCAGAGACACACCUCCCGACUCAAUAGCCUUCGAUAGCCCACCCAAUCAGCAUGUAAACCUGAAAGAAUUCAUCGACAUAAUGAGCAUAUGGUGUUGUCGACUCCAUCCUACCUUCUCUACCUCUCCAGUCUUUAUGAUCACUCCAUGUUCUCUUACAUCACAGCUACUC
rnacentral:lncRNA from 1 species